rnacentral:tRNA from 1 species
GGAGGAGUCGCAUAGUGGUCAAUUGCGCACGCCUGGAAAGCGUGACCCGUCAAGGGUCCGUGGGUUCGAAUCCCACCUCCUCCG